rnacentral:rRNA from 1 species
GAUGAACGCUGGCGGCGUGCCUAAUACAUGCAAGUCGAGCGAACAGACGAGGAGCUUGCUCCUCUGACGUUAGCGGCGGACGGGUGAGUAACACGUGGAUAACCUACCUAUAAGACUGGGAUAACUUCGGGAAACCGGAGCUAAUACCGGAUAAUAUAUUGAACCGCAUGGUUCAAUAGUGAAAGACGGUUUUGCUGUCACUUAUAGAUGGAUCCGCGCCGCAUUAACUAGUUGGUAAGGUAACGGCUUACCAAGGCAACGAUGCGUAGCCGACCUGAGAGGGUGAUCGGCCACACUGGAACUGAGACACGGUCCAGACUCCUACGGGAGGCAGCAGUAGGGAAUCUUCCGCAAUGGGCGAAAGCCUGACGGAGCAACGCCGCGUGAGUGAUGAAGGUCUUCGGAUCGUAAAACUCUGUUAUUAGGGAAGAACAAAUGUGUAAGUAACUAUGCACGUCUUGACGGUACCUAAUUAGAAAGCCACGGCUAACUACGUG